CAUGAAGUCGGAAUUGCUAGUAAUCGUAGGUCAGCAUACUACGGUGAAUACGUUCCCGGGCCUUGUACACACCGCCCGUCAAACCAUGAGAGUUGGCAACACCCGAAGUCGGUAGUCUAACCGCAAGGAGGACGCCGCCGAAGGUGGGGUUGAUGAUUAGGGUUAAGUCGUAACAAGGUAUC
rnacentral:rRNA from 1 species